rnacentral:misc_RNA from 1 species
GAUGAAGAACGCAGCGAAAUGCGAUAAGUAAUGUGAAUUGCAGAAUUCAGUGAAUCAUCGAAUCUUUGAACGCACCUUGCGCCCUUUGGCCAUUCCGAAGGGCAUGCCUGUUUGAGUAUCAUGAACACCUCAACUCUUCAUGGUUUUCCAUGAUGAGCUUGGACUUUGGGGGUCUUGCUGGCCUGUGGGUCGGCUCCUCUCAAAUGAAUCAGUUUGCCAGUUUUUGGUGGGCAUCACAGGUGUGAUAACUAUCUACGCUUGUGGUUUUCCACCAGGGUAACCUUCAGCAGUGGAGGUUCACUGGAGCUUACAAAUGUCUCUCCUCUGUGAGGACAGCCCUUUGAAUGUUUGAUCUCAAAUCAGGUAGGACUACCCGCUGAACUUAAGCAUAUCAAUAAGCGGAGGA